CGGGUCCGUCGAGAAGCUUUAUUGGAGAGGCGAAGUGAACGUGAUGUGUGCUUGCGGCCCAGGCUGGCGUGCUUGUCUCCAUAGAAGGCAUGCUCUACAUUUUGGCUUUCCGCGUUUCCCAUGGCUUCACAGUAUCAGGGUGUUACAGUAGGAAGGCUGGGAAACAUUUGUUGUCCUCUGUAGCUCCUUGGCAAGAUCUUUUCCACAGGUCUAACAAGUUCUAGGUGAACACAGCAGCUCCAGAGAGUUCAGCAUCACCACCUGCACAGAGACACCUUGCAAGCAGAGUCUCCGAUUCUCC
rnacentral:lncRNA from 1 species